rnacentral:piRNA from 1 species
UAUCGAUAAAUUAUCUGAUGAAUGAAU